rnacentral:rRNA from 1 species
CUACGGAGGUUGCAAGCGUUAUCCGGAUUUAUUGAGUUUAAAGGGUGCGUAGGCGGUUUGCUAAGCGGGAGGUGAAAUGCCGGCGCUCAACGUCGGAAGUGCCUCCCGAACUGGUGGACUUGAAUGACUCUGCCGUGGGAGGAAUGUGUAGUGUAGCGGUGAAAUGCUUAGAGAUUACACAGAACACCGAUUGCGAAGGCAUCUCACGAAGGGUUGAUUGACGCUGAGGCACGAAAGCGUGGGGAUCAAACAGGAUUAGAUACCCUGGUAGUCCACGCAGUAAACGAUGAUGGCUAACCGCUGGAUCCAUCGGUUCAGUGGCCAAGCGAAAGCGAUAAGCCAUCCACCUGGGGAGUACGACCGCAAGGUUGAAACUCAAAUGAAUUGACGGGG